rnacentral:lncRNA from 1 species
UUUAUCAAGUUUGUUUUUAUUAAAUAACUAUAACAACAACAAAAAGCCCUGUCUGGGUCUUCUGGCAAUGAUUAACACAUUCAAGAACUCAGGGACACUUGAUAACAACACAGAUGUUUUAGAAUUUACAGAAGGAUAAAGAUAAGUCCCAUGUUUUUACUGUCUUCAAAGUAAUGAGCUUCCAGUUACUUAACAAUCCAUAAGAUUUUUGCCACAAACUUAAGAAAAAUGUAAAGC